GACAUUCCGCAUGAUCAACAGAUGGCAGUGUUGACCUGCUUUAGAGAGUGCUGUCAGCUGUGAGGUACUGCUCCCUCCUCUGGGUUAUCAGUCGAACCGGGCUGAGAGCCAAGUGUAGUUUCCCAGUUCACUUCCUCUACCAACCAGCCCCCACUAGAAGGGUCCCUCUGAGGGGAAGGGCUGAAAGCACCGAACAGCAGAGCAGACACCGGCUGGCCGCCUUUGCAUGGUUCCUUCAAGUUUGAUCUAAAAAAUGCUUGAAAUGCUUCUUUCCCAGCAGAUUUGAAUCUCAAAGCCCCGAGAGCCUGUCAGCAGGAGAUGAAACGUUUGAAGGAUGUGGCUUAGGCCUCUAUUCAUUUGUCAUAGCAUCUGUGCUCCUCAGGAGAAUGACAACAACCAAUUGCAACCGGUGUUUCGUGAAUACUCAGCACAUUCUACAGCUUGUGCCAGAAGUUUUAUAUCUUAGGAAACUGGGUCUGCUCUCAACUCUUGGUGGGUGACUCCAAUCUCUCAUAAUUUAAUCACACUUCGUGAAGUAAACCUAUCAGAAUUUCCGUUUACACGUAGAGAAACCGAAGCAGAGAAAAGUGAAGUAGCAAGUUUAGACAGCGGAUAGAGAGAUUUGGGAUUUGAACCCAGAACUCGGGAGUCCUGUCAUCGUGUUCCUGAGGGAGCAUUCAGAACUAGUCUGAUUUCUGGUAUACCACUCUGUAUCUGGGAACUGGAGGACGCUCCAGAUUCCAUCUGGGGAGGCUAGGUAGGUCUGUGAAGGUCUUCCUCCCAUCUGUAGGAGUCGGCUGCUUGGAGGUAGCCUCUCCAUCUGGGGAAGCCAGGUCCGUGAUGGUCCUCCUCCCAUCUGUUUCUCAUCGGAGAUGGCUGCCGUGAGGCAGCCUCUCAAUCAAAAUUCUGUGGUACCACUCGUAAGGGCGUCCUUAUCUGAAUUGCCUGUUCUCUUUGUCUCUAUCGUUGUUGCUUCUUUGACUUUCUUGAAGGAUGACUUUAUUAUGGGACGGACUAUGACUUCUUUUUGACCUUCCCCCCACUGAUCCCCCAGCAGGUCUGCAGCAGGGUGCCACCAGAUGACGAUGGAAAUCAGUAAGUGGAAGGCCCAUAACCCCCUUUUCCGAAAAUCCCCAAGCUCUAACUGAUUUGUUUGAAUCUGUCCUAUUCUCACACCAGCCCACUUGGGAUGAUUGCCAGCAACUCUUGCAGGCCCUCCUGACUACCGAGGAACGGGGGCGGGUUCUCCUUGAGGCAAGAAAGAAUGUGCCGGGAAUGGACGGGAAGCCUUCCAUCCUCCCUAAUGAGAUUGAUGAUGGCUUUCCCCUCACCCGCCCCAACUGGGAUUACAACACACCCAGAGGUAGGGAGCACCUGAAAGUCUACCACUUGACUCUAAUGGUGGGUCUCUGUGGGGCCGACCGAUAAGCCUACCAAUUUGACUAAGGUAAGAGAGACGGUUCAGGGGCCGGAUGAAUCCCCCGCAGCCUUUCUUGAACGGCUGAUGGAGGCAUACCACCUGUUUAUGCCCUAUGACCCUACCUCAGAUGAGCAUAGGGCAAUGGUGACUAUAACCUUUAUAGACCAGUCAGCCAGAGAUAUUCAUAGAAAACUCCAGAAAAUAGAAGGUUUGCAAGACAAGUCACUGAAGGAUUUAGUGCAGGUAGCAGAAAAGGUUUUCUACAGCCAGGAGACAGAAGAAGAGAAAGAGGAAAGAAAGCAGAAAAAGCAGGAAGUGAGGGAAAGAGAAGGAAUAAGAGGCAAGACAGAAAGUUGACUAAGAUCCUGACCACCGUAGUGCAGGAGAGUCGUAAUGAUAGGGAGAGAGUUCUGGCAAUUGGAGGGGCCCUCUGUCUAAGGAUCAGUGUGCCUACUACAAAGAGAAAGGACACUGGAUCAAGGAUUGUCCCAAAAGGAGGAAAAUGCCGGAAAAACGGAACACUUGAGCCCCGAAGACCCAGGUCCUAAUCCUGGGCGAUGACAGCAACUAGGGGGACGAGGUUCGGUUCCCCUCCCCAAGCCCAGGGUAACCCUUAAAGUGGAGGGGAAGUGGUCCACUUCUUGGUGGACACUGGCGCCCAGCAUUCUGUCCUGUUACAAGACUUUGGAGCUAAAAAAGAAAAAAUCGUGGGUCCAAGGAGCCACCGGAUGUAAACAAUAUUCAUGAACUACCCGAAGAAGGGUGGACCUUGGAGUGGGCCGGGUAUCCCACUCAUUCUUAGUUGUCCCCACAUGCCCGUACCCACUGUUAGGGCAAGAUAUCCUAACCAAGAUAGGGGCCCAUAUUCAUUUUAGACCAGAUGGCCCACAGGUGACAGACAAUAAAGGGGAUCCCAUUCACGUGCUGACGAUUCAGCUGGAAGAUGAAUACCGACUGUUUGAAAAGGUGGUAAAUCCGGAAAAAGACAUUGACUGGUGGCUAGAGAGACAUCCCAGGGCACGGGCUGAAAUGGCUGGCCCAGGAAAAGCAGAGCGACAGCCCCCAGUUCAGAUAGAGCUGAAGCCUCAGGCUACCCCAAUCGCAGUGCGACAAUAUCCGAUGUCUAAGGAAGCCCGUGACGGGAUCCGCCCUCACAUACAGCGGCUCCUUGACCCAGGGGUUCUCAAAAGGUGCCAAUCCGCCUGGAAUACUCCAUUGCUGCCAGUUUGGAAGCCUGGGAGCAACGACUAUCGACCUGUACAGGACUUGAGCGAAGUUAACAAACAGGUCACGGACUUACAUCCUACUGUGCCUAACCUGUAAAACCUGUUGAGUUCCCUUCCCCCUGACAGGGCUUGGUAUACCGUCCUGGACCUUAAUUAAGGCUUCUUUUGUCUUCAACUUAGCCCUACCAGCCAAGACAUUUUCGCUUUUGAAUGGAAAGACCCGGACUCAGGGGUCUCGGGCCAGCUUACAUGGACCAUAUUUGAUGAAGCCACUGGCUGUUGCAAGAGCUGGGUGAGCUCAGCUAUAGAGCGUUGGCGAAAAAGGCCCAGCUCUGCAGGAAACAGGUCAGUUAUCUGGGAUAUAUACUGAGAGGAAAAGAGAUGGCUAUUGGAGGCUAGAAAAGAGACUGUAUUUCAUAUUCCCCCUCCUACUAAACAACUGAGGGAACUUUUAGGUACGGUGGGGUUUUGCCAGCUGUGGAUUCCAGGAUUUGCUGAGAUGGCAGCCCCUCUGUAUGCCCUUACAAAGGGCAAGCACUCUUUCAUCUGGGGAAAGGAUGAACAAGCCACAUUUGAUAACAAGCCUUAAUGUCCGCCCCAGCACUAGGACUGCCUGAUGUAACCAAACCCUUCCAUCUCUGUGUGGCCGAGAAUUGGGGAAUGGCCAAAAGGGGUGCUAACACAGAAAAUUGGACCCUGGAAGAGACCAGUAGCCUAUCUAUCCAAAAAGCUUGAUUCAGUAGCGGCAGGAUGGCCAAUGGCAGUGGUGGCACUGACUCUGUAUAAACUGACUCUGGGACAGGACCUUACCAUCUAUGCUCCUCAUGCCCUUGAGAGUGUCAUAAGGCAGCCACCUGAUCGCUGGCACACGAAUGCCCGAAUGACGCAUUACCAGGCUUUGCUCUUGAAUAAUGAUAGUCACCUUUGCCCCGGUGAGAGGGCUAAACCCUGCCACCUUAUUGCCGGAUCCAGAAAUCCAGCCCCCGGAGCAUGAUUGUUUGCAGGUUCUAGCAGAGGAACAGGGAUGGUGAAAGGACUUGAGAUUCUGGCUUUGCUCAAUGCCUUGUUGCUGCCCGCCAAGGCUGAAAGGACUGCAGCUUAUUCAGAAAGAAAUUUGGAGAAAGGUUGGCAGUACAUAUGCGCCUGGGUCCUUGGAGGUUGGAGAUCUGGUAUGUGCGACGACAUCAUAGCCAGAAUCUGGAACCUUGGUGGAAGGGUCCUUAUGACGUCCUGCUCGCCAUUAUACCAACUGCCGUCAAAGUAGAGGGCAUCGCAUCUUGGAUCCAUGGGUCACACAUCAAGCCAGCUCUUCAUCAACCUGCAGACACCUGGAAAGUCCAAGCCUCCAGCAACCCGCUAAAACUGAAACUCAUCAUGGACAAUAAACUCUCUGGCCAGUACUCGCCUUCGUCAGGGAACGUGUAAAUGCAGUUUAGGUCCUGACGCUCCAGAGACAGUAUCAACCUCUCCCUGAGGCUGAUCCACAAUUUUAGGGUUAAAAUUCAGGCAAAAAGAAAAGGGGGGAAUGAGGGACCACCUGGGAAUGAGAAACAACUGUGAUUUUUUGAAUUGAAGCCAGGUGCAGAGAGCUCUUGAAGGGCGGGUGAACUGUUCUGAGAAACAACCAGCUGUAAACUAUCUACAACAGCUGUAAACUGUAGAGCAAAAGUGACCUGGUUUUCAGGUAUAAAAACCCUGUGCUCUGCAUGUUCGGGGUUGUCUCCUGUCUUUGGAGGAGCGACCCUAUCGUGAUAGCAAUAAAACCUCUUG